ACAAAACAAUAUUUUUAUUUUUCAGGUUUUAAAGAGAAUUUAGAAAUUGAGCAAAGUUUUACUAAAUUAUAGUGAUCUUAGGAGCAAAGUUUACUUCGUUUAUGUUAUUGUUAAUCAAAAAUAUAAAAGAAAACUACCUCUAUCUAAUUUUGUCGAUGUCCAUUUCCUAAGAAGUUUCUCAUUAAAACAACCCUUAACUCAGGCAAGGCAGGGCUAAGGUGGUUAGCGUAACUACAAGUGGUUAACUUACAGUUAGCCAACUGAAGAACAAUCAACAAUGCCCGAUUAAUAAGUGAUCGCGCUGCUUGUCUACUACAUGUCCCUGCACUAGUUAUAGCAGUAAUUUCUUUGUUGGGAAGUAUUUAGCACAUCCGGGCUGCGCAAAAGGAGAGGACUAAAUUGAUUAUUAUGAACAGACCAUUAUGAUGAACCACUGAUAUUGACUCAGAGACAUGAAGAUGAGUGCUUUGACAACAAGACUGACUAGCUGAGCCAGCUUAAGAAUUAUGUGGUGUGUGUGUGUCUAAUUCCAGGAGCUCUCUAUGUCAGCCAUCCAUCUAUAUUCUUACUCAUUUUUGUUAAUUAUAAAAUAAAUUUGAUUAUUUA